rnacentral:rRNA from 1 species
GUGGGGGAUAUUGCACAAUGGAGGAAACUCUGAUGCAGCGACGCCGCGUGAGUGAAGAAGUAUUUCGGUAUGUAAAGCUCUAUCAGCAGGGAAGAUAAUGACAGUACCUGACUAAGAAGCCCCGGCUAACUACGUGCCAGCAGCCGCGGUAAUACGUAGGGGGCAAGCGUUAUCCGGAUUUACUGGGUGUAAAGGGAGCGUAGACGGAAUGGCAAGUCUGAAGUGAAAUCCUGCGGCUUAACUGCAGAAUUGCUUUGGAAACUGUCAAUCUGGAGUGUUGGAGAGGUAAGCGGAAUUCCUGGUGUAGCGGUGAAAUGCGUAGAUAUCAGGAAGAACACCGGAGGCGAAGGAGGCUUACUGGACAAUAACUGACGUUGAGGCUCGAAAGCGUGGGAAGCAAACAGGAUUAGAUACCCCGGUAGUCC